rnacentral:rRNA from 1 species
CCUACGGGAGGCUGCAGUGGGGAAUAUUGCACAAUGGGCGCAAGCCUGAUGCAGCCAUGCCGCGUGUGUGAAGAAGGCCUUCGGGUUGUAAAGCACUUUCAGCGGGGAGGAAGGCGUUAAGGUUAAUAACCUUGUCGAUUGACGCUACCCGCAGAAGAAGCACCGGCUAACUCCGUGCCAGCAGCCGCGGUAAUACGGAGGGUGCAAGCGUUAAUCGGAAUUACUGGGCGUAAAGCGCACGCAGGCGGUCUGUCAAGUCGGAUGUGAAAUCCCCGGGCUCAACCUGGGAACUGCAUUCGAAACUGGCAGGCUAGAGUCUUGUAGAGGGGGGUAGAAUUCCAGGUGUAGCGGUGAAAUGCGUAGAGAUCUGGAGGAAUACCGGUGGCGAAGGCGGCCCCCUGGACAAAGACUGACGCUCAGGUGCGAAAGCGUGGGGAGCAAACAGGAUUAGAUACCAGGGUAGUC